CAACAUAUAAAAAGAGUAACAACUUUCCACGUGCACGAAUAACCCUUCGGCUCCUUGCACUCUACCACUGAGUUAUAUCCCUUGCCUCCAUUGACAAAUAGAACAAUAAUUCAUUAUAUUCUAUUAUUAGUUUAAUAUUCCGCAGUGCAACAUAUAAAGAGCAUUAAAACUUUCCACGUACACGAAUAACCCUUCGGCUCCUUGCACACCUAUGUACCUUUGCAAUCAUUCAAAGCCCCUGCAAUGUUAACUCUUCAGAAACCACAAUUAAGACUACACAGUUGCCAAGCAACCUAACCUUCUGUCAGUUACAGCUUCGGGAAAAUGCAACAAUUUAAUGCCUGUAGUCUACUAUUUCAGCUUCCUACAGCACGCCAAAACAAAGCUUAUCCCACAGAUUUCAUUUCAGGUUUUUUGCAAAGAACGAUCACCUUCACGCCAUCCCUAAAAUGUAACAUCGUCAACGACCUCAAGUAGGACAACUUAUCCAAUUAUGAGGUGAGCCUUCAUCCUACAGUCUAUUUUCGCCUUCCACAAUGACAAGAAUUAUAUAGAAAUACCAUCCUUCUACCAUCAACAAUGGGCACCAACCUACUUGGAGUUAGCCCACUUCAAAUAUGAUGGAGCGAUGUUCAAAAUACGAAUCAGACAGCACCGAGAGAAAUUCUUCUUUGCUGAUGGCCUCAAAAGCUUCAGAAAAGACUUAGCAAUCUACGAGUCCACCACAAUCCUUUUUUUUGGCCUGUGAACAAAAAUGGGUAUUCAACCUCCACUUCACCCCUACACUAGACCAACAAUCAUGCAGCAGACCCCUACUGACAUCCAGAAUGCAUGUCUGGACUAUUGAACUCACACAAGGCCUGCUUGGUGCCCUUGAACCCCUAGUAACGGACAAUAACUACAUUUACGUUACUAUUCAAAUUAUUAUUAAAACAUUAAUUUGAAUUUACGUUUAUGUGCAAAAACUUCCACCUAUGGAAGCAAUACUUCUUAAUUCAUGCGGUCUCCAUAUGACAAUUGUAAGAAGAUUUGGCCCUCCAUUGCAAUGGACUGUCGUCAUCCCUGACGUUGCCAUUGGUGACAAGUAUGUUGUCCAACCAUGGUACCAAAUUCUUGCAGAAGGUGAUUUCAGUCAUAGAGACGAGCUAUUAUUCUACUACAGGCCUCACGAAAAAAUUUGGGAAAUAGUUAUUAGAAAACAAAACAAAGGGACGACAGCGAUAGUGAAUGAAUUUUAAUUCCUAGUUUCUGCAUUCUAAGACAGCGAUAGUAAAUUAAUUUUAAUUCCUUGUUUCUGCAUUCUAAAACAAUGUUCUGUUAGUUUACAUGUUGAACAAUUAUAUUUUUUAAUAUUAAGCUUUUUAACUUUGUUAAUUUUCAUUUUUUUCACCAUUGUUUAGUUAUUAAUAUUCAUCUUUUUUAUGCUUCAACACUGAAUUGCAUUUUAUACCUAUAUUGCAAAUUAAAAAAAUGCGCAA